rnacentral:rRNA from 1 species
UGGGGAAUAUUGGACAAUGGGCGAAAGCCUGAUCCAGCCAUGCCGCGUGUGUGAAGCAGGUCUUCGGAUUGUAAAGCACUUUAAGUUGGGAGGAAGGGCAGUAAGCGAAUACCUUGCUGUUUUGACGUUACCGACAGAAUAAGCACCGGCUAACUCUGUGCCAGCAGCCGCGGUAAUACAGAGGGUGCAAGCGUUAAUCGGAAUUACUGGGCGUAAAGCGCGCGUAGGUGGUUCGUUAAGUUGAAUGUGAAAGCCCCGGGCUCAACCUGGGAACUGCAUCCAAAACUGGCGAGCUAGAGUAGGGCAGAGGGUGGUGGAAUUUCCUGUGUAGCGGUGAAAUGCGUAGAUAUAGGAAGGAACACCAGUGGCGAAGGCGACCACCUGGGCUCAUACUGACACUGAGGUGCGAAAGCGUGGGGAGCAAACAGG